CUUACACAUGCAAGUCGAACGGCANGCACGGGUGCUUGCACCUGGUGGCGAGUGGCGAACGGGUGAGUAAUACAUCGGAACAUGUCCUGUAGUGGGGGAUAGCCCGGCGAAAGCCGGAUUAAUACCGCAUACGAUCUACGGAUGAAAGCGGGGGACCUUCGGGCCUCGCGCUAUAGGGUUGGCCGAUGGCUGAUUAGCUAGUUGGUGGGGUAAAGGCCUACCAAGGCGACGAUCAGUAGCUGGUCUGAGAGGACGACCAGCCACACUGGGACUGAGACACGGCCCAGACUCCUACGGGAGGCAGCAGUGGGGAAUUUUGGACAAUGGGCGAAAGCCUGAUCCAGCAAUGCCGCGUGUGUGAAGAAGGCCUUCGGGUUGUAAAGCACUUUUGUCCGGAAAGAAAUCCUUGGUUCUAAUAUAGCCGGGGGAUGACGGUACCGGAAGAAUAAGCACCGGCUAACUACGUGCCAGCAGCCGCGGUAAUACGUAGGGUGCGAGCGUUAAUCGGAAUUACUGGGCGUAAAGCGUGCGCAGGCGGUUUGCUAAGACCGAUGUGAAAUCCCCGGGCUCAACCUGGGAACUGCAUUGGUGACUGGCAGGCUAGAGUAUGGCAGAGGGGGGUAGAAUUCCACGUGUAGCAGUGAAAUGCGUAGAGAUGUGGAGGAA
rnacentral:rRNA from 1 species